rnacentral:rRNA from 1 species
AUGAGAGUUCAGUCCUCUGACCCUAUUGAUGUCCUGAAUAUCAAGCUAAAAAGAUUCAAAACCUACUUCAAAGGUUGGGGAUCAGAUAAAUAUGGCCACGACAAAAAAAGAAAAGAGGAGAUCCGGAUUGAGCUGGCUAUGUUAGAAGAGCUUGAAGAAAAUGGUCCCUUAUCCCCUGAGCUAUACAACAUCAAGAUUGAUGUUAGUACUGAGCUUCAUGAUAUACUAGUGAAUGAGGAGAUAUACUGGCUCCAACAGUCUCAUGAACACUGGCUCUUGAAAGGGGAUCUGAACACGGACUAUUAUCAUAAGAUUGCAAAUGGUCGCAAGAGGAAAAACACUAUCCAUUCCCUUAAAGCUGGGGAUGUGGAGAUUGAGGGCACUGACAACCUGAUUGCCAAUGCCACGGAAUACUACAAGAGUUUGUUCGGACCUAGGUCUGGCAAUUUGUUCCACCUUGACCCUGACACAUAGUCUGAUGAGGAAAAGCUUAAUGCUAAUGACAAUGCUGAUUUUGUGUCGUGA